AAGCGCUUGCAACCAGACUUGCACGUAGUUGAUCAUCCGGGGUUCUCCCCGGUGCACUUGGCUACGUUCAGGCCAGCAUCGGUUUCGGUGGUUGGAUAAAGGCCUAGGGAAUGUGGCUCUCUUCGGGGAGUGUUAUAGCCCAUUGUGUAAUACCCUGUGGUGGACUGAGGUUCGCGCAUCUGCAAGGAUGCUGGCGUAAUGGUCAUCAGCGA
rnacentral:rRNA from 1 species